GACGAACGCUGGCGGCGUGCUUAACACAUGCAAGUCGAACGAAGAGCGAUGGAAGCUUGCUUCUAUCAAUCUUAGUGGCGCACGGGUGAGUAACGCGUAAUCAACCUGCCCUUCAGAGGGGGACAACAGUUGGAAACGACUGCUAAUACCGCAUACGAUUUAAACUCGGCAUCGAGGAUAGAUGAAAGGUGGCCUCUACAUGUAAGCUAUCACUGAAGGCGGGAUUGCGUCUGAUUAGCUAGUUGGAGGGGUAACGGCCCACCAAGGCGAUGAUCAGUAGCCGGUCUGAGAGGAUGAACGGCCACAUUGGGACUGAGACACGGCCCAGACUCCUACGGGAGGCAGCAGUGGGGAAUCUUCCGCAAUGGACGGAAGUCUGACGGAGCAACGCCGCGUGAGUGAUGACGGCCUUCGGGUUGUAAAGCUCUGUUAAUCGGGACGAAAGGCCUUCUUGCGAAUAGUGAGAAGGAUUGACGGUACCGGAAUAGAAAGCCACGGCUAACUACGUG
rnacentral:rRNA from 1 species